GAGCAAUUGAUUAUCAUGUCACUUAGCUCGUAUGUAUUUGUUGUUUUGCAAUAAAGUCAUGUUUUUGAAGAGACAUAAUGUUUAAUUUAUAUUUAAAUAAUUACUUCUUCCACAAGUUGAUCAAGAAUGAAGACAAUCCUACUAGUAUUUUUAAUUAAGGAUUAGUCUUCAGUAGUCGGUGAUUUUGACAAUUAGCAAGUAUUAUACUACAUGUUAC
rnacentral:misc_RNA from 1 species